UAGGGAAUCUUCGGCAAUGGACGAAAGUCUGACCGAGCAACGCCGCGUGAGUGAAGAAGGUUUUCGGAUCGUAAAACUCUGUUGUUAGAGAAGAACAAGGACGUUAGUAACUGAACGUCCCCUGACGGUAUCUAACCAGAAAGCCACGGCUAACUACGUGCCAGCAGCCGCGGUAAUACGUAGGUGGCAAGCGUUGUCCGGAUUUAUUGGGCGUAAAGCGAGCGCAGGCGGUUUCUUAAGUCUGAUGUGAAAGCCCCCGGCUCAACCGGGGAGGGUCAUUGGAAACUGGGAGACUUGAGUGCAGAAGAUGAGAGUGGAAUUCCAUGUGUAGCGGUGAAAUGCGUAGAUAUAUGGAGGAACACCAGUGGCGAAGGCGGCUCUCUGGUCUGUAACUGACGCUGAGGCUCGAAAGCGUGGGGAGCAAACAGG
rnacentral:rRNA from 2 species